rnacentral:rRNA from 1 species
GCCGCGUGAGCGAGAAGGCUUUCGGUUUGUAAGCUCUUUUAUUUGGGAGGAAAGGUGCAGUGCGUGAGGGCAUGAAUCAGAUGUUGCUAACUACGAGCCACCCGCCAAGUCCAUGCCAGCCGCCGCGGUAAU